rnacentral:rRNA from 1 species
AUUGAACGCUGGCGGCAGGCUUAACACAUGCAAGUCGAGCGGGGUGAUGGUGCUUGCACUAUCACUUAGCGGCGGACGGGUGAGUAAUGCUUAGGAAUCUGCCUAUUAGCGGGGGACGACAUCUCGAAAGGGGUGCUAAUACCGCAUACGUCCUACGGGAGAAAGCAGGGGAUCACUCGUGACCUUGCGCUAAUAGAUGAGCCUAAGUCGGAUUAGCUAGUUGGUGGGGUAAAGGCCUACCAAGGCGACGAUCUGUAGCGGGUCUGAGAGGAUGAUCCGCCACACUGGGACUGAGACACGGCCCAGACUCCUACGGGAGGCAGCAGUGGGGAAUAUUGGACAAUGGGGGGAACCCUGAUCCAGCCAUGCCGCGUGUGUGAAGAAGGCCUUAUGGUUGUAAAGCACUUUAAGCGAGGAGGAGGCUCUUUUGGUUAAUACCCAAGAUGAGUGGACGUUACUCGCAGAAUAAGCACCGGCUAACUCUGUGCCAGCAGCCGCGGUAA